AAACAAAGACAGAUUAUAUACAUUUAACCCACUACCUUCUAAUGCGACCAAAUGCCCCCACUCGCUACUAAUGCGCCCACCACAGCACACACACAGCAUGACUUGUGUAGCUCUUGUUUUCCUGUGUGACGCGUGGUGUUAUUUUGAGCUUGCUAGGUUUUUUAAAAGUAGAAAUAUAGAUUGUUUUGUUAAAAAAGCUGAUAUUUUUAUGUCUUUCGCUUCAGUUUCUAUGGGCCGUCAAAGUUUGGUGAUUUUUAAAAAUUUUCCUUAGCUGUGCAGGUCAUUUUCUCAAUGACCUUUCAAUUUUUAGACCCAUUAUCGCAAAUAAUACACUAAAUACAGCUAAUAAUGAAGUUGAAAUUGAUAAAGACAUUGAUCAUGAAAUUUAGCUCUAAAUUUAGACUUAGAUCUAGUUCGAUUCUGAGAGAGAGAGAGAGUGAAGUAAACAUUAGAUCUAGUCUAGAUCUAGUGUCAAUGAAUCUUCAACUUCUUUGACUGAUAUUUUGACCAUUUUUUUUUACCACAUGAAAACAUUUGAUGAAAUAGAUCUAGUUGGGGGUGUACACAGCGAUGGUUUGGACAAUGAUUAGAUUAAUUUUACUUCGUCAUGCUAGAAGUAAUGAAAUUUGAGACACAUGCAGAACCACAUCAGCAUGAUGCCAUGUUCAGGCAACUAAGGGCCUCACGCGCACCCAGUGGUUCAAGUGCACUUGGAGCUCUGGAUGGAGUUAUAUUAUUCAAUGCAACUAUUCCCACCUCUCCAGUAUCUGGCUUAGCAGCUAUUGGCACAGACAGCUAUGGCUUGGCUCAUUUUCAUAAUCUUGUAUUAGAUUCAGCGACAAGUGGCUUGAAAAUUAUGCAAUGCUUGUAAAAUAGUAACAUAAUUAGUAUAGCUUAAUUUAUUUCUAUCAAAGUCUCACUUUUAAAUCUUUGUACAGUCACUGCCAAGCUCUACAAUUUUUUUAUGGAAAUUGAUUAGGUUUUAUAAAAUUCUAAAUAUUGACUGGUUAAAAUUUUGAAUACUUUUUUACAGCCCAACACAAUUAAAUAGCAAUUGAGAUCUCACCUACAUCUUAACACCUAACUUAACUUAGGCCUGUAAGAAUUAAAGCUAACAUGAAUGAAUAUCUGGGAGAGAAGUAAUGUGACACAUGAAAAUUGUAUGUUGAUUUUCUUAUGAUGGUUUUGUCAAUACUUUAAAAAUAUUUAACAAUUUAUUCUUAUGAAAUCUAAUACAACUAGGUUUGGCUGUAGUUAGUUUUGUUAAAAGGUAUUAAGAACAUUCCAUUCUGUAUAUAUUAAACGUUUUUCUAAUGUAAUUGCAUUCAGUGAUUAUCAAUAUUUAAACAUAUAUACUAGUGUUUUGUAAUCAGUGAUUUUCAUUUUCUGGUAUCAGUUUGUUCCCAUUUAGAUUGCAAUCUUUCCAAAUGUGAAAACAAGGUGUCUGCAUAAUCUUUGAGGCCAUUUUUAAAAUCACUUAAAUUUAUUAGAUAAAAUAUUUAUAAAACAUACAAUGUAAAUUAUUUUGUAAAAUGAUUAUACAUUUGAGUUUAUAAAAAUGUGUAAUUUUUUAAUGGCAUCAUGUUUCUGCUUAUCUGUAUCUGAUACUGAUGAUGUGUUUACUAUAUCCUUUACUGGUUUACCUUUGAGGAAAAACUGCACAUGUUUAAACCCAUAUCUGAAGUAACUUUCCAGAAAAAAAGAUGUAUGUAUGUAAGACAGUGUCCAAAAUUUCAAAUCAUUUCCUUCAAAAUGUUAUCAAUUUCCUCCAUAACUUCAUAACAUUAUUGAAUUUUUUCCUUCAGAACACAAUUGUAAAUUUUGUAUUUUUUUUUAAACCACAAAGAUACUCUAAUAAAGUGAGACUCUUUCACAGAUCUUAUUAAUUUUCAGAUAAAUCAAUUGAGAGUCUAAUAAGUAAUAGUCUAGCAAACAAUUACUUAUACUUCACCUUAUUAUUAUACAAUAUUAAGAUUUACUUCUGCAGGGAUGAAAAACUUUUUUAAAAAAAUACAAUAGACAUGUAUAAUAAUAAAAAUAAUAAUAAUAAUCUUUAAUAUCCAUAAGGAAAUUUGUCUUACAAUUUGUGCAUUAUACCAAACAAAACAUUGCAACUAUAAAAAAAAAAAAAAAGUACAUUCACACUUGACUCUCUCAUAAUUGACAUGUGAAAAGUUUAUAUCUGUUUGUUUCUAUUUAAUAAUUUGAUUGCCAGGGGAACAAAAGAUAAUUUGUGUUGUUUGUCUUUGCUAUUGGUGUCUUGUAUCUCUUUUGUGAUGGUAAAGUCACAAAAUGUAGGAAACAUCACUGUGUUUGGUCCAGUGUUCCUAUAUGCAAGUCUAUUGUAUUUUCUAUAUUAUUUUACAAUUGUAAAAAAAAUUAAUAAAAUUGUUGCACUGUU